UACAGAGGUCUCAAGCGUUGUUCGGAUUUAUUGGGCGUAAAGGGUGCGUAGGUGGCGCCGUAAGUCAGGUGUGAAAUUUCGGAGCUUAACUCCGAAACUGCAUUCGAUACUGGCGUGCUUGAGGACUGGAGAGGAGACUGGAAUUCAUGGUGUAGCAGUGAAAUGCGUAGAGAUCAUGAGGAAGACCGAUGGCGAAGGCAGCCCCCUGGGCUGACACUGACGCUCAGGCACGAAAGCGUGGGGAGCAAACAGG
rnacentral:rRNA from 1 species